CUUCUUUUACACUAUUGCAAUUUGGCUUUGUACUUUCUAAUUGUGCACUAUUAUUUUUCUCACACUAACCAUUAUUAUGUGAAGUUUUAUAAUAUAUUUUAUUAGUCAAUAAAAUUGGAGAUGAAUAAAGAAAAAAUAAAAAAAUAAAAAUAGAUUUUAAAUAUUUUAUUUAUUCACAACUAAAAAUAACAUAAAUUUUUACUAUUUUAUUCUUUUUUAUUAAUUUUCUAUUAUUUUAUUUACAAAUUAUAAUUUAUUUUACUAUUAAAAAUCAGAAAAUAACUAAACUAAAAAAAACUAGAGUAAGACACAUAAUCUAAACUUAAAUCUCCACAAUCACAAAGAAAAAAUAGAAUACUAUAGUAACACUUACUCAAUAAAAGUCUGAAACACAAAUGAACGCGAUCAAGCACCAAUCCAAAACACCAAAAAAGGAUUGAGAAAGAAUAAUCACCGGACCAAAGUCACCACGAAGCAGGAAAACACAUGCAUAAUGCACAACCACCAGCUAAAAGGUAUGAAUCACCUCACAAACAAAACAACCACAUACAAGGAGCCUAUGCCAACGAAGAACCACAAAGCUCUGAAUAGAAGAGACCAAAGCACCAAAAGACUAACUCC
rnacentral:lncRNA from 1 species